CUCUGUGACUCCUACGGGAGGCAGCAGUGGGGAAUAUUGCACAAUGGGCGCAAGCCUGAUGCAGCAACGCCGUGUGAGUGAAGAAGGUUUUCGGAUCGUAAAACUCUGUCCUAAGGGAAGAAACAAAUGACGGUACCUUAGGAGGAAGCCCCGGCUAACUACGUGCCAGCAGCCGCGGUGAUACGUAGGGGGCAAGCGUUAUCCGGAAUCACUGGGCGUAAAGGGUGCGUAGGCGGCUUAGCAAGCCAGGGGUGAAAGGCAUUGGCUCAACCAAUGUAAGCCUUUGGAACUGUUAAGCUUGAGUGCAGGAGAGGUAAGUGGAAUUCCUAGUGUAGAGGUGAAAUUCGUAGAUAUUAGGAGGAACACCAGUGGCGAAGGCGACUUACUGGACUGUAACUGACGCUGAUGCACGAAAGCGUGGGUAGCGAACAGGAUUAGAUACCCUGGGAG
rnacentral:rRNA from 1 species